rnacentral:lncRNA from 1 species
CUAAGCCUUGACUUUAGGCUUGACUUAAAAAAAUAUUUCAUGCUCUUCUCUUAUCCUUUGGCAUUCACCUUUGUGUGUCCUACAGAAAUUAUUGCUUUGAGUGAGAAAGCCAACACAUUUCAUAAUGUGAACUGUGAAGCUGGUGCAGUUUCAGUGGAUUCUCACUAUAACCAUCAUGUCUAAGUAUAUACACCAAGGAAAGCCAGUUUGGGCCAUAUAAGCAUUAUACACUUGUCAGAUUUAAAUAAACAGAUUUCCUGAGACUAUGAUGUGCUGGUAGGAGGUCCUGACCUUCCACUAACAGGUCUUUUCAUAACUGACUCCCAGUGGAAAUCUUCAAGUAUUUGAGUGUCAAUGAUCUCCCAGUGGCUGAAGCAUGGAAGAGACUGCCUUCUUGGUGAAGGCAUUCCAGUUGCUGGAGAUCCACGAGAAGUCUGCCUGGCAAACUAGAUACUGAGUUCUUCUACAACCAAGCCAAAUCCCACUGCUUCCAAAGAAUACCUUGAGAAGAAAAGUCAGUAG